rnacentral:rRNA from 1 species
CCUACGGGAGGCAGCAGUGAGGAAUAUUGGUCAAUGGACGAGAGUCUGAACCAGCCAAGUAGCGUGAAGGAUGACUGCCCUAUGGGUUGUAAACUUCUUUUAUAUGGGAAUAAAAUGUUCCACGUGUGGGAUUUUGUAUGUACCAUAUGAAUAAGGAUCGGCUAACUCCGUGCCAGCAGCCGCGGUAAUACGGAGGAUCCGAGCGUUAUCCGGAUUUAUUGGGUUUAAAGGGAGCGUAGGUGGAUUGUUAAGUCAGUUGUGAAAGUGUGGGGCUCAACCGUAAAAUUGCAGUUGAAACUGGCAGUCUUGAGUACAGUAGAGGUGGGCGGAAUUCGUGGUGUAGCGGUGAAAUGCUUAGAUAUCACGAAGAACUCCGAUUGCGAAGGCAGUUCACUGGACUGCAACUGACACUGAGGCUCGAAAGUGUGGGUAUCAAACAGGAUUAGAUACCCCUGUAGUC